rnacentral:ncRNA from 1 species
ACAAUGGUACCCCUGCCCAUAAGGGCAGCUCGGAGAGAUCCUCGGAGGGGUGAGAGUCCC